UUCCAAUGUCCAGCUGAGCUCAUAAAGGUCUUUGGGGUGGGGCUAGGGGGUGGAGUUCUAAAGCCUGCACAAGCCAGGAAAGAGCCUCCUGGGUAAGGCAAGGCUCAUGAAAUUCUCUGAGUGGGUCAAAUGGGGACUGGAAAAAUUCCACCCACUAGCUCAGCUAAUGGGUAAAAAUGCUGGACAUUUAUCUGGAGCUGCAGGGGGUAAAGUGUCAUCCUUGGGAAAUUCAAAGCUGGCCUGUACCUGCUGAGAGCACCAGGGAUAUGGUCACAUUGCAAGCCUGUUGCCAGCACCCCAGGCAGAGUCAUCAACAAUUACUUUGGAGGAGGGCCACUUCCACCUUCCAGGGCAUAGGUGACCCCUGUGGAAAACAAGUACCCCUGGAACAUCCUAGAAGUGGAGGUGGACCAUAAACUAGUUCUUGAGUGGCAGGCUUUCAGAUCAUCUGGUACUCCUUCCAGAGCUCCUGACCAGAGAUGGGGCAUUUGUGAACACAAGAUACAGCCAAGCAACCUGUCCCGCUGUUGUUAUUACAGUGAGUUAUAUUCUUGCCCACCUAGGCCACUGGAAUGAGAAUGCAGUAAAACAGCUUGCCUCAGAGUGGUCUUCCCUGGAACACACAGCUUCUGUUAAGCAUUCAUGAUUCUGACGGGCCAGUCAUCCCUUCAUUGACUUUGUCCAGCAGCUCCACCAUUACAGUCUCAUUUUAGAAAAUAAAGACACUUGGAAACAAAUUGAAAGGGCGUUUUCCUGCACCAACCCCAUUUGACUUGCCUCAGCAUGCUGAAUGGAGGGCUGCACUCCCCCCAUGACUGCCUGGACCCAUCACUCUAGGGUCCAUGUGGGUUGCAUGGCAGUCCUCCACUUUUUGGCCAUUGGAUCCUCAUUUUCUAUUAAUUCCUUAAGGGAUGGCCGCUCAUAGCUGGUUCUGGGUCAGUUUUGGAGAAUGCUUUUAAAUAUUUAAAAAUGUUGUCAUGACUGGAGAACUUGAGGUCUUUGUUGGCAUGGUUCUUGGAAGCCCACAGUAGCCCCAUUUCCCAUCCCCCAGGUUCUAGGGAAAGGUGGCUGAGGAAAUGGUGAGGAAGACUGAGAAAGGCCACAAGGGACCUUUAGUGCUCUUUGUUGGGUGGUUCUAUUGGGCUUUGGCUGCAGACAGCUAGGACGAUUCUAGAGAAACUAUGAUCUGGGGCUGGAUGGCUCAGUGGACUAUAUAUGGAAAUUGCCCUGUCACCUGGAUUGCUAAGAACAGAAAUUACAUUACCCCCAUCAUAAAGCCCCAAACAACUAAGAUAUUGCUUCUAGAUGGUAACCAUGGAAACAUCCCAUUGUUGUGGAUGACCUGCCACCAGAACAAAAGCCUGUUUUUUUCUGCUUCCAUGAGGAGUGGCAUAUAGUGCUCCCCACUCCACACUCCCCUCCUUUCCUGCUGUCUCACAGCAUUGCUCCAGGUCAGGGCUCAGGGACCCAAGAAGAAGGGAUACCACUCAGCUCUCUGGGCUCACUCUGCUCCUGGUGAAUGCCAAGGGAAGAGCCCUGAAGACAGGAAGCAAAGAAUAGAGAUAAAGAUGAGAAGAGAUGACAUUCGGCAGUGUUGGUGAGAGACAGAGGCUGGGGCAGGCUGUCAGUGUCAUUGGGGAUAGCAUUAAGGACAUUCAUGAGGCAGUACACAUGUCUGGAGUCCCAUCUGACUGGCAUCAGUAAACAUCCUCUUCCAUUCAUUCUGGAGAGGGAGCCUUAAUUAGGCAUGAAGAGAUUUAUCAAAAAGCAGCCCCCUGGAGUUGUUAGUCUCCCUGCCAUCUGGAAGGAUGGUUUCCUACCCUCAACAACAGCAGUGGGAAUGACUGAUGGGGUCCUAUAACUCCACCUCCCAGGACUCGUAAAACCCAAAUGGCUUUCGUCCUUCCCAGAAAGGAGUGAGAUUUUGCCUGUGCUGAUGGGGUUCAUGCUGAGGUUUGUUGGGUCUCUGUGUCUAGGCCUCUGCAUAGGGCUAGUUUUCAGUUUACAGUGAUCCAACCACAAAGAUGAACAGGAAAAGCCCUGAAGUGAGGAUGAGAAGACCUGGAUGAACAUUCUACCAGGAAGCCGUGAGGCUUCAUGCAGGUUUUUGGCCUCAGUUUUAUGACCUAUACAACGGGGAUAAUGAUUUCUGCUUUGGUCCAACCCACAUGAUUUUUCAGAGGUUCUUGUGAUAUUAUAGAUGCAAAAUGACUUCCUUAAGUAUAAAGCCCUCUACAGGUAUUAAGGAUUUAAUCCAACAAACAUUUAUUGAGCAACUGCUGUGUGCUAUGCACCACGCCUAGUG
rnacentral:lncRNA from 1 species